UGCGGCCGGCGGAUGUUUGAGAGGGUCUGCCCUUAGUACGAGAGGACCGGGGUGGACCUGCCUCUGGCGUGCCAGUUGUCCUGCCAAGGGCAAGCGCUGGGUAGCCAAGCAGGGAAGGGAUAACCGCUGAAAGCAUCUAAGCGGGAAGCCCGCCUCAAGACGAGACAUCCCAUGGGGCUCGACCCCACCGAAGGCCCCCGGGACAAUACCGGGUCGAUAGGCCGCAGGCGCAGGCGCGGCGACGCGCACAGCCGAGCGGUACUAAUAGGCCGCGAGGCUUGGCCAU
rnacentral:rRNA from 1 species